GGCUCUAGGGAGGGGGGGGUGUAACAGCGCGGGGGGUGGGGCUAAGGCGACCCUCAUCCUCUCUUUCCGACAAGUGGGGGUCCUGAGCGCUGCCCAGAAGGGGUCCAGGGAAUGUUGUGGGCUGGGGCACACCCGCCGAGACAGAAAUUGGAGGACACCACGGACGUCGCCAGAAUCCUGGGUUCUAUCCUUCCUUUCAGCUGCCCGGUGUUCUCCACCCCUGCGUUAGCACUCUGUGGUCUGGGGCCGUCCCGGGGCUAGCAACCAAGGGGGCUCUCAGAUGAUCUGUGGAUCGCCGCUUCACCCUUACUUUGGGGACGGUCACAAGCGCCCCGCUUUCCCCGGUCGCUUUAGAUCAGUCGUCUGCGCCUUCCCGGGCUCCUCACCCCCAACCCCAGAGUCAAAUGUGAGCCUCUCCUGGAAAUCUUUUGCGAAGGGGACAAACUUUUGAGUGGACGAAAAUCUAUUGGAGCCUGUCCAGAGCAGCCAAGAUGAUGUUGCUGAACAAGUGUAGGCCAAAGCCUGAGGACCACAGUGCUCUGUCUUGACCCUGAUGCUAAAGGGGAUCAGCAGACUGGCCCACCCUGCUCUGGGCUCUGGGUGCUUCACCUCUGUGACCCCGUUUCU
rnacentral:lncRNA from 1 species